UUUUGGGGGAAGAACUUUUCGUUGUUUGUAAAUUGUAAUAAUUUUCUAUCGUAAGUUUCUUACUGAUGUAUUUUGUUUUUCUUUUUAUCUUUUGCAGGUGAAUUCUCGGCGUUGAAAUACGGAGAUGCUACUGUCGCUUCGUCACUGCAGAAAUUCCGGAUAAAUACGUAUACACAAGUGUGUGCAUAAUCAAAUAUAAAUUUGCGGGCAGGACCCUCAAGAGUGACUCAUAGAACCAAAACUAGCACCAACGCGGGAUUUCACACGCAAUGCCAGCAGUCUUUUAUGGACUUGUGACAAAAUAUCCAUUACAAGAGGACUUUCACCUAGCCCUUAGCUUACGCUGACCAAGAGCUAUAAUAAUGACUAAAUAACAUAUUAAAUUUAUUUUUAUCGAAAAAUCGUAGUCAUAUCUCAAUUUUAUCAAUUCACCUUAACUCCAAAUAAAAUUGCAGUCAUAAAAUUGUAAUAAUAUUUUUCCAAAGGCAUUAAUCUGACAAAAACGACAAAAAGUGUUCUUACCCUUGUUAAUUCAACUAAGAAAUGGUCAUUUUGGUACUUAAAAGAUGAACUAUUAAUGAUUUCAAAAAUAAUAUUUGGAAUGUGCAAAUACAAAAAUAAUCCUUCAUAAAUAUAAGGGAAACAUGGAUCAGUAAGUCAAUAAAUGAUUUCUGUAAUUUGUUUAUAAUUAAA